UACGAAGGGGGCUAGCGUUGUUCGGAAUUACUGGGCGUAAAGCGCACGUAGGCGGAUUUGUUAGUCAGGGGUGAAAUCCCGGGGCUCAACCUCGGAACUGCCUUUGAUACUGCAAAUCUCGAGUCCGGAAGAGGUGAGUGGAAUUCCUAGUGUAGAGGUGAAAUUCGUAGAUAUUAGGAAGAACACCAGUGGCGAAGGCGGCUCACUGGUCCGGCACUGACGCUGAGGUGCGAAAGCGUGGGGAGCAAACAGG
rnacentral:rRNA from 1 species